UUGCUUGUAUCAUUGAUUCACUGAUGGAAAUACGGGAGGCAUACGUGGAUUGCAGUAUUGACCUUGCGGCAUCCGCUUGCAAGAGAAAAGCAUAUUUUAAUUUUUGGUGCUUUAAAGCAAAGUAUCCAGCUAUCUAUCCAGCUGCCCUUUGGAAAUUUCCGAAGCUCCCUUUACUCCUUCGACUGUGGAAAAGAUAUAUGCCUUGUUUUACCACUCAAAACUUCAAUUGCCUCUCUGGGUUUCUCCUUCUGAUUCUCUCAAACUUGUAGUUGUAACAGUCUCCAUACUCCAGAAAAUCAGGUUCAUACAAGAAGAAGAUGAAGAAAGGGAAUUUAUAGUUCAAUUUUCAUCUUACAAGUUCAGAAAUUCUUAGCUGACUCUUCGGAUAGAACAGGGGAGAUAUCAAUGGUUAUGAUCGUUGUUAUUAUCAGUUCAGCAAGUUCCCCAGAAUCAGUGAGCUUACCAUGUUCCUUUCUCUUUCGUUUUUUGGUUCAAUAUUAAGAUGAUUGAAGCUCGUUUUCUGGGGAGGAAUUUUAAAAAUUCCAAAAAUAAAGUUAAUGAAAGAGUCACAAGGGAAAUAAAUUUCCUACCUAAACCGCUCAAUUCCUUCAGGAGUUAGCUACGUCUCACUCUCAGUAUUUGACUAUUUUCUUAUGAGUGAUGAUGGGUCCGUAGAGUUUAGGAGCUACUCGUACUCUACAUUUGUUUUUGGUCAAAGA